rnacentral:lncRNA from 1 species
CACUCACAAGGCUUCCUCAGGGCUCGCAGGAAGGAGUGAAGACUUGUGUCUGGGUUCGGACAGACAGGAUGGGGCGCUGGCUGGGUGAGGGGUUUAAAGGGCUGCCGCCGUGGUGAUGUCAGCCUCCCCCACUGGCUCGCUCCUCGGCCCCCUCCCUGCUAGAGGAAGCCGGCUCCGCUCCCCACCCCCGGCUCCCCCAGUGACUCCACACAGGCUCCAUAUUUGGGGAAAGACACCAAGUUGGAGCAGUCUACCGGGGCUGCCGAGACAUUCUCUGCAUGCUUUGGAGAUGGAGCGGGCCGGGGCGGGGCACGCUGCCGGCGGGGAGCCGGCCCGGGAAAAGCCUUUUAUGGACAGGACCCUGCCCGGACUUACGGCUGCUCCUACUUCACUGUUCUCUGGCCCCGAGUUUGAGAAGAGGGGGAGUUCAAUAGAGUCUGGCUGGAGAGAGGGGCAAGGGGCUGGGGAGCCGGGAAUCCCAGGGGUUUGUGGGGACAAACCAGCCACCCUCUCCUCCUGGGGCUUUUAGCUCUGAUGGGACAUGGGAUCCAACCUUUCCUGAGGACCUACUCCACACCAGGCCCUUUGCAGUGCUCUCAUUGAAUACUCACAGCUACAGUGUGAGGGUGUAAUUACAUCCCCAUUUUAUAGAUGAGGAAACUGAGGCCCCGAGUGCGUCUUCCUCAAGGCCACAUGGUGAAUGGAACAGUCCCUACCAGCCUGGAAAACAGACCAGCCUCUGUCACUCCAGAGAUAACCCACUCUCAUCUUGCUCGUACCUGGCUUCAGGGAUCUUGGGGAGAGAUAAGAGGUUAAAAAAGGGACAUAUCAAAACUCCCUCCUCUUGGAGCCUGCCCAGCUUUCAUCACCCUCCUGCCUCGGCCUGCACGCUGAGCGGAUUAUAAACGCCGCAUCAGGGAGCACUGCUUGGGCCUGUGGCUUGAAAACGGAAAUGCAACCAUAGCAUGGAGACGCUCUGAGAAAAGAUCCAGACCCACCUCAUCUCCCAGCCCUUCAAGCAGAGCUAUAAAAACAAGUUUGGGAGAAAAACACAUUCCCAUCCCCAAAGCAGAGGCCCCGCCUGAGCUCCCCCAUCCUCAGCAUCUGGGGUGGACCAGGUAUGUGUGUGCAUGACUAACACAGAAC